rnacentral:rRNA from 1 species
AACGAACGCUGGCGGCAGGCUUAACACAUGCAAGUCGAACGGGUGUAGCAAUACAUCAGUGGCAGACGGGUGAGUAACACGUGGGAACCUUCCUAGAGGUACGGAACAACUCAGGGAAACUUGAGCUAAUACCGUAUACGCUCUUGCGAGGAAAGAUUUAUCGCCUUUAGACGGGCCCGCGUCGGAUUAGCUAGUUGGUGGGGUAAACGGCCUACCAAGGCGACGAUCCGUAGCUGAUCUGAGAGGAUGAUCAGCCACACUGGGACUGAGACACGGCCCAGACUCCUACGGGAGGCGGCAGUGGGGAAUCUUGGACAAUGGGCGCAAGCCUGAUCCAGCCAUGCCGCGUGAGUGAAGAAGGCCU